AAUAUAUCACGCCGUUGACUUUUUAUCCAACGUUUGACCAUUCGUCUUAUUCAAAAAAUUUAUGUAAUUAUCAUUUAUUUUAUUAUAACUUGAUUCGUCAUCAAAUGUUCUUUAAGCAUGACAUAAAUAUUUUCAUAUUUGCAAAAAAAAAUUGAAUAAAACGAAUGGUCAAACGUUGGUCGAAAAAUCAACGGUGUCAUACAUU
rfam:Oryza sativa Japonica Group DNA, chromosome 4, cultivar: Nipponbare, complete sequence.